rnacentral:rRNA from 1 species
GACGAACGCUGGCGGCGUGCUUAACACAUGCAAGUCGAACGGAAAGGCUCCAGCUUGCUGGAGUACUCGAGUGGCGAACGGGUGAGUAACACGUGGGUAAUCUGCCCUGCACUCUGGGAUAAGCCUGGGAAACUGGGUCUCAUACUGGAUAUGACCUUUCUCCUUAUGGGGUUUGGUGGAAAGUUUUUCGGUGUAGGAUGAGCCCGCGGCCUAUCAGCUUGUUGGUGGGGUGAUGGCCUACCAAGGCGACGACGGGUAGCCGGCCUGAGAGGGUGAUCGGCCACAUUGGGACUGAGAUACGGCACAGACUCCUACGGGAGGCAGCAGUGGGGAAGAUUGCACAAUGGGCGGAAGCCUGAUGCAGCGACGCCGCGUGAGGGAUGACGGCCUUCGGGUUGGAAACCUCUUUCAGCAGGGACGAAGCGUAAGUGACGGUACCUGCAGAAGAAGCACCGGCUAACUACGUG